UAGGGAAUCUUCCACAAUGGACGAAAGUCUGAUGGAGCAACGCCGCGUGAGUGAAGAAGGGUUUCGGCUCGUAAAACUCUGUUGUUAAAGAAGAACAUAUCUGAGAGUAACUGUUCAGGUAUUGACGGUAUUUAACCAGAAAGCCACGGCUAACUACGUGCCAGCAGCCGCGGUAAUACGUAGGUGGCAAGCGUUGUCCGGAUUUAUUGGGCGUAAAGCGGGCGCAGGCGGUUUUUUAAGUCUGAUGUGAAAGCCUUCGGCUCAACCGAAGAAGUGCAUCGGAAACUGGGAAACUUGAGUGCAGAAGAGGACAGUGGAACUCCAUGUGUAGCGGUGAAAUGCGUAGAUAUAUGGAAGAACACCAGUGGCGAAGGCGGCUGUCUGGUCUGUAACUGACGCUGAGGCUCGAAAGUAUGGGUAGCAAACAGG
rnacentral:rRNA from 1 species